rnacentral:rRNA from 1 species
UACGAGGGGGGCAAGCGUUGCUCGGAAUUAUUGGGCGUAAAGGGCGCGUAGGCGGUUUGACAAGUCUGAUGUGAAAUCUCUGGGCUCAACCCAGAGUCUGCAUUAGAAACUGUCGGGCUUGAGUAUGGGAGAGGUGAGUGGAAUUUCCGGUGUAGCGGUGAAAUGCGUAGAUAUCGGAAGGAACACCUGUGGCGAAAGCGGCUCACUGGACCAUAACUGACGCUGAGGCGCGAAAGCUAGGGGAGCAAACAGG